rnacentral:rRNA from 1 species
GCACAAGCGGUGGAUGAUGUGGAUUAAUUCGAUGCAACGCGAAAACCUUACCUACCCUUGACAUGUCUGGAACCUUGCUGAGAGGCGAGGGUGCCUUCGGGAGCCAGAACACAGGUGCUGCAUGGGCUGUCGUCAGCUCGUGUCGUGAGAUGUUGGGUUAAGUCCCGCAACGAGCGCAACCCUUGUCAUUAGUUGCCAUCAUUUAGUUGGGCACUCUAAUGAGACUGCCGGUGACAAACCAGAGGAAGGUGGGGAUGACGUCAAGUCCUCAUGGCCCUUAUGGGUAGGGCUUCACACGUCAUACAAUGGUCGGUACAGAGGGUUGCCAAGCCGCGAGGUGGAGCCAAUCCCUUAAAGCCGAUCGUAGUCCGGAUCGUAGUCUGCAACUCGACUACGUGAAGUCGGAAUCGCUAGUAAUCGCAGAUCAGCAUGCUGCGGUGAAUACGUUCCCGGGUCUU